rnacentral:rRNA from 1 species
AUGAUACAAAUAAAACUCAAACACAAUAUGAGAGCAAAAUCUGAUUCAUGGUUCUCUGAUUUUCUUUUGAGAAUUGGAAAUGGUACUGAAGAAUCAAUUGGUGAAGACUAUGUGCGGCUACCUGAAGAGAUAGUUAUAGGUUACACAAAUUCAAAAGCGGCUGUUACUAAGUUGAUCGAUGAUGUAUUUCCAUCACUUAAUGAGAAUGGUAGAUCAUCAUCUUACAUAAGUUCCCGUGCCAUUCUUUCCACUAAAAAUGAAUAUGUGGACGAACUAAAUGCAAUGCUUAUCGACCAAUUUCCUGGAGAAGAAAAAAUAUACUACAGUUUUGACUCAGCAGUGGAUGAUACACACAAUCACUACCCACCUGAAUACCUAAAUUCUCUCACACCUAAUGGCCUGCCUCCACAUGUUCUUAGAUUGAAUAUCAAUUGUCCGGUCAUCUUGCUUCGAAAUUUAGAUCCAUCUAAUGGGCUAUGCAAUGGCACAAGGCUCAUUAUUAGGGCAUUUCAAGGUAAUGUUAUUGAUGCAGAGAUUAUUGGAGGACAACAUUCUGGAAAACAAGUUUUUCUUCCACGAAUUCCUAUGUACCCUUCUGAGGAUGACGUGCUUCCGUUUAAAUUCACAAGAAAGCAAUUUCCUAUUCGUCUUAGCUUUGCAAUGACAAUCAAUAAAGCUCAGGGUCAAACGAUUCCAAAUGUUGGCAUCUACCUUCCGGAACCUGUAUUUUCUCAUGGUCAGCUUUAUGUUGCUUUGUCUAGAGGGAUAUCAAGGCAAACGACAAGAAUACUUGCCAAGCCAGACAAGGAUAUCGACCCAUCAGGGAAAAGUACUAAAAAUAUUGUCUAUAAGGAUGUUUUGAUGUGA